AGGACAACAGCCAGAACACUUAAGCCUGCCAGAGAUUAGCCAUAGAAUUUAUCACUUAUUUAUAAGUAACUAAGCACUGCCUAAAUUUAAGCUAUCAAAAGAUACUAAUAUUUAUUUCAUAAUGUAGGUCACAAAUAAGAUAAAUAUAUUAAAUAGAUUUGAAUUUUUCUAAAGAACCCUGACUUUUGCUGAUCUGGGACAAGUGAAAUAUAUAUUGAAGCAAAUAUGAUUAAAUAAAAUUCAGCAUAUAUUACUACAAACAUUUCUUAAAAGGCAGGUUUAUGGAAGUUUAAAUGACCAUCCUCCUUCCCCAAGUGUCUCCCUAUAGUUCAAUCUCCAUAUAAUAGUUAGGGUGAUCUUUAUAAUCUUAUUAUUUCCCAAUUAAAAUGCUGUCAUGGCCUUAUAUUAGAAUUAGAACAAAAUCUAUGCAGCCCUAGGUAUCUGGCCCUGUCUAGCUAUCGUAUCUCAACUUCUACCACUUCCUUUGACUCACUGAACUCCAGCUACUUUGGCUUUUCUUUUCCUGGAUCAGGUCAAGCUGUUCCCAUCUCAGGUGUUUCACAUUCCUUUGCCUACAAGACUCUUGUCUUCAGAUUCUAGGUGUGGUAACCUCUCCCUCAUCCUUCCUCACCAGUUCCCAAUUCAAAUAUUGCUUCUCCAGAGAGACUUUUCCAGACCAUGGGCCCAUUCUUCUUUAGGUUAACCAUUACCAGAUUACUAUGAUCCGCUACCUGACUAGUACUUAUUGGUAUCUAAACCAUUUGUUUACAUGUUUACUAUUUGACGUCUCUUAAUGAGGGCAGGGCCUGCAUCUUGUUCAAAAUACAUCCCUAACUAUCAGAGCACUAUAUGACACAGCAGGCACUCAACUAAUUUUUGAGUGAAUUAAUUAAAAUAUCAAACUUUACUGGUUUGAAAAAUACUGAAGGGUAGUCUAGAGGAACAAAACUAU
rnacentral:lncRNA from 10 species